rnacentral:rRNA from 1 species
AUGGCUCAGGAUGAACGCUAGCGGCAGGCUUAACACAUGCAAGUCGUGGGGCAACGCGAGUAGCAAUACUUGGCGGCGACCGGCGCAAGGGUGCGUAACGCGUGAGCAACAUGCCCGUAUCAGGGGGAUAAUCCAGGGAAACUUGGUCUAAUACCCCAUAGUAAUUUUUGUAAGGCAUCUUAUAAGAUUUAAAGCUUUGGUGGAUACGGAUUGGCUCGCGUGACAUUAGCUGGAUGGUAAGGUAACGGCUUACCAUGGCUAUGAUGUCUAGGGGUUCUGAGAGGAAGGUCCCCCCACACUGGAACUGAGACACGGUCCAGACUCCUACGGGAGGCAGCAGUGAGGAAUAUUGGACAAUGGAUGGAAAUCUGAUCCAGCCAUGCCGCGUGAAGGAAAGAAGGUCCUAUGGAUUGUAAACUUCUUUUGUAUGGGAGCAAUAAGGCCUACGAGUAGGUUGAUGAGAGUACCAUACGAAUAAGCACCGGCUAACUCCGUGCCAGCCGCUGC